AACUUUGGACAAGGGGGGCAACCCUGACCCAGCCAUCCCGCGUGUUCGAUGAAGGCCUUCUGGUUGUAACGCACUUUUGGCAGGGAAGAAAAGGCGCGGGCUAAUACCUUGCGCCGCUGACGGUACCUGCAGAAUAAGCACCGGCUAACUACGUGCCAGCAGCCGCGGUAAUACGUAGGGUGCAAGCGUUAAUCGGAAUUACUGGGCGUAAAGCGUGCGUAGGCGGUUUGGCAAGAAAGAUGUGAAAUCCCAGGGCUUAACCUUGGAACUGCAUUUUUAACUGCCAGGCUAGAGUAUGUCAGAGGGGGGUAGAAUUCCGCGUGUAGCAGUGAAAUGCGUAGGGAUGCGGAGGAAUACCGAUGGCGAAGGCAGCCCCCUGGGAUAAUACUGACGCUCAGGCACGAAAGCGUGGGGAGCAAACAG
rnacentral:rRNA from 1 species